CUAAUAGCGUAUAUUAAAGUUGUUGCAGUUAAAAAGCUCGUAGUUGAAUUUCGGGAUCAAUAUGUCGGUCGUGCCUUUGGUACGUACUGGUAUUAUUGGUUUCUCUCUUCUGAAGAACCUUGAUGUCAUUAAUUUGGUGUCUUGGGGAAUCAGGACUGUUACCUUGAAAAAAUUAGAGUGUUUAAAGCAGGCUUACGCUUGAAUACAUUAGCAUGGAAUAAUGAAAUAGGACGUUUGAUUCUAUUUUGUUGGUUUCUAGGAUCGAUGUAAUGAUUAAUAGGGAUAGUUGGGGGCAUUAGUAUUCAAUUGUCAGAGGUGAAAUUCUUGGAUUUAUUGAAGACUAACUACUGCGAAAGCAUUUGCCAAGGAUGUUUUCAUUAAUCAAGAAUGAAAGUUAGGGGAUCGAAGACGAUCAGAUACCGUCGUAGUCUUAACCAUAAACUAUGCCGACUAGGGAUUGGAUGAUGUUAAUUUUUUAAUGACUCAUUCGGCGCCUUACG
rnacentral:rRNA from 1 species